AUCUUUGCGCAGAGGCAGUAUCGUAGCCAAUGAGGUUUUAUCCGAGGCGCGACUUAUUGCUAGUUGAAAACUUAUCCAAGUACCCGCCUCCUGACGACCGUGGACAAUACGUAGGUCUGUAGCAUAUUUUUCCAGAUCUCCAUGGAGA
rnacentral:snRNA from 1 species